rnacentral:rRNA from 1 species
UACGUAGGGGGCAAGCGUUGUCCGGAUUUAUUGGGCGUAAAGAGCGUGUAGGCGGCCAUGUAGGUCCGUUGUGAAAACUCGAGGCUCAACCUCGAGACGCCGAUGGAAACCAUGUGGCUAGAGUCCGGAAGAGGAGAGUGGAAUUCCUGGUGUAGCGGUGAAAUGCGCAGAUAUCGGGAGGAACACCGAUGGCGAAGGCGGUUCUCUGGGCCGUACCUGACGCUGAGGAGCGAAAGCGUGGGGAGCGAACAGG